GCUGGAAUAGCUCAGUUGGUUAGAGCGUGUUGCUGUUAACCACAAGGUCGGAGGUUCAAGCUCUUUCUAGCG
rnacentral:tRNA from 1 species